rnacentral:sRNA from 1 species
AAAAAAGAGACAUAAAC